rnacentral:rRNA from 1 species
AACGAACGCUGGCGGCAGGCCUAACACAUGCAAGUCGAGCGAAGCCUUCGGGCUUAGCGGCGGACGGGUGGGUAACGCGUGGGAACGUGCCCUUUGGUACGGAAUAGCCCCGGGAAACUGGGAGUAAUACCGUAUGUGCCCUCCGGGGGAAAGGUUUAUCGCCAAAGGAUCGGCCCGCGUUGGAUUAGGUAGUUGGGGGGGUAAUGGCUUACCAAGCCGACGAUCCAUAGCUGGUUUGAGAGGAUGAGCAGCCACACUGGGACUGAGACACGGCCCAGACUCCUACGGGAGGCAGCAGUGGGGAAUCUUAGACAAUGGGGGAAACCCUGAUCUAGCCAUGCCGCGUGAUCGAUGAAGGCCUUAGGGUUGUAAAGAUCUUUCAGUGGGGAAGAUAAUGACUGUACCCACAGAAGAAGCCCCGGCUAACUCCGUGCCAGCAGCCGCCGUAAAAC